GCUUGUCUCAAAGAUUAAGCCAUGCAUGUCUUAGUGUAAAUAACUCUUAUGAAACUGCGAAUGGCUCAUUAAAUCAGUUAUCAAAUACGUGAUGGUCGCCUACUACAUGGAUAACCGUAGUAAUUCUAGAGCUAAUACAUGCACAAAGGCCCAUUCACGUGGGUUGUGAUUAUUAGAUAUACCGAGUAGGUGAAUCAUAAUAACUUCGCAAAUCGCAGUAAUACUGCGAUAAAUCAUUCAAGUUUCUGCCCUAUCAUGCUCUCGAUGGUAGUGUAUUGGACUACCAUGGCUCUCACGGGUAACGGGGAAUUAGGGUUCGAUUCCGGAGAAGGAGCCUGAGAAACGGCUACUACAUCUAAGGAAGGCAGCAGG
rnacentral:rRNA from 1 species